rnacentral:rRNA from 1 species
AUUGAACGCUGGCGGCAUGCCUUACACAUGCAAGUCGAACGGCAGCACGGGUGCUUGCACCUGGUGGCGAGUGGCGAACGGGUGAGUAAUACAUCGGAACAUGUCCUGUAGUGGGGGAUAGCCCGGCGAAAGCCGGAUUAAUACCGCAUACGAUCUACGGAUGAAAGCGGGGGUCCUUCGGGCCUCGCGCUAUAGGGUUGGCCGAUGGCUGAUUAGCUAGUUGGUGGGGUAAAGGCCUACCAAGGCGACGAUCAGUAGAUGGUCUGAGAGGACGACCAGCCACACUGGGACUGAGACACGGCCCAGACUCCUACGGGAGGCAGCAGUGGGGAAUUUUGGACAAUGGGCGAAAGCCUGAUCCAGCAAUGCCGCGUGUGUGAAGAAGGCCUUCGGGUUGUAAAGCACUUUUGUCCGGAAAGAAAUCCUUGGCUCUAAUACAGUCGGGGGAUGACGGUACCGGAAGAAUAAGCACCGGCUAACUACGUG